rnacentral:tRNA from 1 species
GGGCCGAUAGCUCAGUUGGCUAGAGCGCCGCCCUUACAAGGCGGAAGUCGUGGGUUCAAGUCCCUCUCGGCCCA